rnacentral:tRNA from 1 species
UGGGAUGUAGCUCAGUUGGCAGAGCAGGCGGCUGUUAACCGCCAGGUCGUAGGUUCGAGCCCUACCAUUCCAGCCA